GGAUAUGAGGGCAAUCUGGCUGCGUCAUCUGUCACCCAUUGAUCACCAGGGUUGAUUCUGCUGAUCUGGCUGGGUAGGUGGGUGUCCCCUUCCUCCCUCACUACUCCCGAAGCUGUGAGCUCGGUCGAAAAGGAUGACCUUCCUCAAUAGAGAGGACCGUUCUUCAAUCAAGGGUAUACGAGUAGCUGCGCUCCCCUGCUAGAACCUCCAAACAAGGUCCAUUUGUAGGCGAACGUAGGGUAGUCAAGCUUCCAAGACUCCAGACACAUCCAAAUGAGGCGCUGCAUGUGGUAGUCUGUUUUCUU
rnacentral:snRNA from 1 species